AUUGAACGCUGGCGGCAUGCUUUACACAUGCAAGUCGAGCGGCAGCGCGGGGGCAACCCUGGCGGCGAGCGGCGAACGGGUGAGUAAUGCAUCGGAACGUACCCUGGAGUGGGGGAUGACGCCGCGAAAGCGGCGCUAAUACCGCAUAUGCUCUGAGGAGGAAAGUGGGGGACCGCAAGGCCUCACGCUCUGGGAGCGGCCGAUGUCCGAUUAGCUAGUUGGUGGGGUAAAGGCUUACCAAGGCGACGAUCGGUAGCUGGUCUGAGAGGAUGAUCAGCCACACUGGGACUGAGACACGGCCCAGACUCCUACGGGAGGCAGCAGUGGGGAAUUUUGGACAAUGGGGGCAACCCUGAUCCAGCCAUGCCGCGUGAGUGAAGAAGGCCUUCGGGUUGUAAAGCUCUUUUGGUCGGGAAGAAGGAGCCUUGCCUAAUACGCGAGGUGAUUGACGGUACCGACAGAAUAAGCACCGGCUAACUACGUGCCAGCCGCCGCAAUAAAAC
rnacentral:rRNA from 1 species